CAUUCCAUGAUAAGACAAUGUAAAACUAAGACAAUUACAGACUGUUUUGAUCCUAGAUCCAAAUUGAGUUUUGAUAGAACGACUUUACCAAA